GGUGUUGUAGCUCAGUGGUAGAGUGCUUGCCUCGCAUACAGGAGGCACUGGGUUUGAUCCUCAGCACCACAU
rnacentral:tRNA from 1 species